GACGAACGCUGGCGGCGCGCUUAACACAUGCAAGUCGAACGGAAAGGCCUGCUUUCCCUUGUGGAUUGCGGGUACUCGAGUGGCGAACGGGUGAGUAACACGUGAGUGAUCUGCCCCCAACUUGGGUAUAAGCCUGGGAAACUGGGUCUAAUUCCCGAUAGGACUGCAGGGUGGUGCCUGUGGUGGAAAACGAUUUUCUAGUGGUUGGGGAUGAGCUCGCGGCCUAUCAGCUCGUUGGUGGGGUAAUGGCCUACCAAGGCGGCGACGGGUAGCCGGCCUGAGAGGGUGGACGGCCACAUUGGGACUGAGAUACGGCCCAGACUCCUACGGGAGGCAGCAGUGGGGAAUAUUGCACAAUGGGCGGAAGCCUGAUGCAGCGACGCCGCGUGGGGGAUGACGGCCUUCGGGUUGUAAACUCCUUUCGACCGCGAGGAAGCCACCUGGUUGGAAGGGUGGUGACGGUAGUGGUAGAAGAAGCACCGGCUAACUACGUG
rnacentral:rRNA from 1 species